ACUAGCCUGAAACGCCUCAUGAUGACACAGGCUGAUAAGUUCACGGCUGAAGAGAUUGACCAGAUGUUCCAAUCUUCCCCUAUUGAUGCUGCGGGCAACUUGGAUUACAAGUCUUUCUGCUACACCAUCACACAUGGAGAUGAAAAGGAAGAAUGAAAAGCAUGCAUUUUAUUAGCUUCAGUAAAGUCUUGCAAUAAGUCAAUAAAUAAAAUUUGGAGUCUGAAUGGUCUUUUCUCACUGCCAAAAAAUCAUGGCCUAUUGGAACAGCA